UACAGAGGUCCCAAGCGUUGUUCGGAUUCACUGGGCGUAAAGGGUGCGUAGGUGGUGAGGUAAGUCUGAUGUGAAAUCUCCGAGCUCAACUCGGAAAUGGCAUCGGAAACUACCUCGCUAGAGGUUUGGAGGGGGGACUGGAAUUCUCGGUGUAGCAGUGAAAUGCGUAGAUAUCGAGAGGAACACCAGUGGCGAAGGCGAGUCCCUGGACAACACCCGACACUGAGGCACGAAAGCUAGGGGAGCAAACAGG
rnacentral:rRNA from 1 species